GCUUUCAUAGCUCAAUGGUAGAGCAGAGGACUUUUAAUCCUUGGGUCGUAGGUUCAAAUCCUACUAGGGAGCA
rnacentral:tRNA from 1 species